rnacentral:lncRNA from 1 species
AAAUCUAAACAAUCAACGAAUGUUCCAACAAGGAACGGAUAUCAAUCCAGAUUGCAUAAGGAAGUAUCAAAUACAUAAUCUACUUGCUAUUACAAGCAUUCAUUUAAAUACAUCUCAGUACACCCCAAAUCAGUUUACAUUUUACUUCCGAUUACAAUCACAAUGUACUACAUCCUUUAUUUUACAAGUUUGGUACAUCAUGAUUCUAGCCUUCUAGACCCCUAAGCUAGACUGCCUCAGGGCACUGCUACCUCGGUCUCUGUGGUGGGGCGCUAUCUACUGAGCUACGCCCUCGCCUCGCGCCGCCGCGCCGCACACGAACAACCUGAAAACCCCAAAACAACGUG